UACGUAGGGUGCGAGCGUUGUCCGGAAUUAUUGGGCGUAAAGGGCUCGUAGGCGGUCUGUUGCGUCGGGAGUGAAAACUCAGGGCUUAACCCUGAGCCUGCUUCCGAUACGGGCAGACUAGAGGUAUGCAGGGGAGAACGGAAUUCCCGGUGUAGUGGUGAAAUGCGUAGAUAUCGGGAGGAACACCAGUGGCGGAAGGCGACUACCUGGCUUGUUCUUGACGCUGAGGCGCGAAAGCUAGGGGAGCAAACGGG
rnacentral:rRNA from 1 species